rnacentral:rRNA from 1 species
GGCCUUCGGGUUGUAAAGCACUUUUAUCGGGAGCGAAAUACCAUUGGCAAUAACCGAUGGGGCUGACGGUACCCGAGGAAUAAGCACCGGCUAACUUCGUGCCAGCAGCCGCGGUAAUACGAAGGGUGCAAGCGUUAAUCGGAAUUACUGGGCGUAAAGGGUGCGUAGGCGGUUAGUUAAGUCUGUUGUGAAAUCCCCGGGCUCAACCUGGGAAUGGCAAUGGAUACUGGCUAGCUAGAGUGUGUCAGAGGAUGGUGGAAUUUCCGGUGUAGCGGUGAAAUGCGUAGAGAUCGGAAGGAACAUCAGUGGCGAAGGCGGCCAUCUGGGACAACACUGACGCUGAAGCACGAAAGCGUGGGGAGCAAACAGGAUUAGAUACCCUGGUAGUCCACGCCCUAAACGAUGCGAACUGGAUGUUGGUCUCAACUCGGAGAUCAGUGUCGAAGCUAACGCGUUAAGUUCGCCGCCUGGGGAGUACGGCCGCAAGACUGAAACUCAAAGGAAUUGACGGAAUCACUA